CCAUUUUUUGAAACGUCUACAUGUCAGUAUAUUUACAUUUGGUGUAUAGUAUUGGCGUCAGAAAAUCAGUUUUCCGGUUGUAAUUUGUUUUAAAAGUCUUGUUGACGGAUCGCGAAUCAUGUCCAGUGUACAAUUGCGCUAACAGAAGUGAUAAAACAACUGGAAUAUCAUAUUUCAGAUUUCCUCUGAAAAAGAAAGAGCUGUUAAAUCGAUGGGUAGCCAAUAUGAGGCGAGAUAAGUGGCAGCCAACUCAAUGUAGCUACGUAUGCUCGUUUCACUUUGAAGAUAGAUACAUGUAUAGUACAAACGAGAAAAGGCGACUUCUGGCAAACGCAGUACCGAUAAUAUUUACGUUUCCUGACCAUUUGCAGAAAACAACUAUAGUAUAGAGACAACCAAGCAAACGGCCUGUCAGUGAAGAAUCAGCUUCCUUAUCAAAUGAACCAGGUGAAAGAGUGAAUCAGAAUGAUCAUACAGAUCAUUCUUAUUGUUUGCCUAGCCCCAAAAAAUUGAAACAGAAUUAUGAGGCACUACAGAAAAGGACCGAGAAGCUUACGAAACAAGCGAAACAUGCAAGGCAAAGUGUUUCAAGAAAGAAGAAACAAAUUGUGACAUAGGUUGUAGGCCUAUUAAGAGACUUCAAGACUGUGCUUCUGAAGUGAUAGGGUGUGACAAAAAUAGUGAUAUU